rnacentral:tRNA from 1 species
ACUUAAAUAGCUUAUAUAGAGCACAACAUUGAAGAUGUUGGGGAGAUAUACUUAUCUUUAAGUA